ACUUGUCUUUUAAAUGAAGACCUGUAUGAAUGGCAUANNNNGGGCUUAACUGUCUCCUCUUUCCAGUCAAUGAAGUUGAUCUCCCCGUGCAGAAGCGGGGAUACAAACAUAAGACGAGAAGACCCUAUGAAGCUUUAGACACCAAGGCAGAUCGUGUUAAUAUCCCCAAACACGGGGCUUAAACUAAAUGAAACCUGCCCGAAUGUCUUUGGUUGGGGCGACCGCGGGGCAUUGAAAAACCCCCACGUGGAAUGGGAGCACCCCUCCUACAACUGAGACUACAGCUCUAGUAAACAGAAUUUCUGACCAACAAGAUCCGGCAAUGCCGAUCAACGGACCGANNNACCCUAGGGAUAACAGCGCAAUCCUCUUUUAGAGCCCA
rnacentral:rRNA from 1 species